rnacentral:rRNA from 1 species
UAACGAAUCUUCCGCAAUGCACGAAAGUGUGACGGAGCGACGCCGCGUGGAGGACGAAGUUCUUCGGAAUGUAAACUCCUGUCAGGGGAAAGAAAGUUCUGAUCUACCCCAGAGGAAGAGGCGGCUAACUCUGUGCCAGCAGCCGCGGUAAUACAGAGGCCUCGAGCGUUAGACGGAAUCACUGGGCUUAAAGCGUGUGUAGGCGGAAGGGUAAGUACCUUGUGAAAUCCCACGGCUUAACCGUGGAACGGCUUGGUAUACUGCUUUUCUUGAGCAAUCUAGGGGCGAGUGGAACAGAUGGUGGAGCGGUGAAAUGCGUAGAUAUCAUCUGGAACGCCAAUGGUGAAGACAACUCGCUGGGGAUUUGCUGACGCUGAGACACGAAAGCCAGGGGAGCGAACGGGAUUAGAUACCCCCGUAGUCCCUGAGCGGGCUGGCAAGGCGC